rnacentral:lncRNA from 1 species
AUGCCAUCCUGGGCCCGGCGUUUAGCCAGUGCCGACUUCCUCCUCCUCCGUCUCUGCCUGUCAGUGAAGUUCAAGUGGUCCGAAGUGCAGGGCGUGUCCGCUCCACCCAGAUGUCAUGGCUCCCUGCCCUGUCCGUGUGUCUGUCUGCAAGCUUGGCUCCUGGAGCCUCUUUAUCCAGGUCCUGCCUCCAAUCAAAAGGCAAAAACCCGGAGUUCCCAUCGUGGCGUAGUGGUUAACGAAUCCGACUAGGAACCAUGAGGUUGCAGGUUCGAUCCCUGCCCUUGCUCAGUGGGUUAAGGAUCCAGCGUUGCCAUGAGCUGUGGGGUAGGUUGCAGACGUGGCUCUGGAUCCUGCGUUGCGUGGCUCUGGCAUAGGCUGGUGGCCACAGCUCCGAUUGGACCCCUAGCCUGGGAACCUACAUAUGCCGCGGGAGCGGCCCAAGAAAUGGCCAAAAAAAAAAAAAAAAAAAAAAAAGGCAAAAACCCCAAUCCAAGGUGAAGCCAACUUUCUCUGUAACUCAGAAGCAGCUGAUCUCUACUGGAAAAAGACAAGCACAUAACCAGGUUGACUGGUUCGAGUUAACAUCUUAUGAUCCUCCGACUUACAGGGCCCUUGAUGUGGACUGGCCUGCCUGUGUCUCUGCAGUACUAUUCGCUAUUCCAUUCCCCGAAACGAGCCAUGAUCCCUGGUCCUGUCUUCUCUCUCCCCGGCCCCCACUCUAGCUCCUCUCAGCUGAUAACCCUUCCCCACAUCUCACUGGGAAAGCAGGCCGAAUGAGUUUCCUGGGCUGCAAGAACAUAUCACCGCAAACUGGGCUUAACAACAAAAAUCUAUCCUCUCUCAGUUCUGGAGGCCAGAGAUCCGAACUCAAGAUGAGGGCAGGGCUGUGCUUUCGCCGGAGGCUCCGAAGAAUCCUUCUUUGCCUCUUCCGAGCUUCUGGUGACUGAUGGCACUCCGUGGCAUUCCCAGAUUAUGUGCACAUCAUUGCAAUCUCUGCCUUCUCUGCCUCCAUUGUCACAUUGUAAGCCGCUAAGAUAGGGAGUCCCCAGAAAAAGAAAACCAGGCCUGGCUUUCUUGACAUAAGAGAAGCCAUUUUAGGCCUACGCCAUGUUGUGAUCCAGGCCUGGCCACAAUGCGUGACUCUGAACAGGUCUCAGAAAUAAUGAUCUCCAGGGAACAGGAGAACAAACUGUCAUUAUGCAAGACAAAUAACAACAGCAAAGAUAGCAACUUAGUUGUAGAGAUGCCUAGUUCUGUUUCAAUGGUAAAGACUAGUCUGAAGAACACUCUUCAGCUGUUUCACAGAAUUUAACCCCCCCUCAGGUGCUCAACUACCAGAUAACUGGAACCAAAGGGAUGAUGCUAUUGACUUGCUGGGCUUGAAGACCCUCAUGACUUGAAUCAACGAAAGCUUGGACUCUGUCACCCUUUGCCCCAGUUCUUUGCUGACUUCUGCUCAAGUCCCUUGAUGACUAUGCAUGUACCCUUAGCUUAAAACGUCACCCAUUUUGCUGGUGAGACACUGUUUUGGAAAAGAUCCCUGGUGUUCUCCUUACUUGCUGUCGGUAAUAAAUCUUUCCUUCUCUCUAUUGAUCUUUGGCUU